CGCCUCUUGCACUUAUAAGAGGUCUUGUCUGCACAAUGACCCACGGGUUUAAUUGCCGCGGUACCCUGACCGUGCUAAGGUAGCGUAAUCAAUAGCCUAUUAAUUGUUGGCCUGUAUCAAUGGCGUAACGCUGGUGGUGCUGUCUCUUUAAUAUUUUAUUGAAUUUAGCAUCUUGGUGAAAAGGCCAAGAUAUAACUAAAAGACGAUAAGACCCUGUCGAACUUAAGGCUAACUUGUUCGUGAGAGCUGCAUGCUCUUUGCUAAUGACUAACCUUUGGUUGGGGAAACCGAGGACCAAAAAAAGCGUCCAUCCCCUAUACUGCUUAAGUUUAAGGAACAGUAUAUAUUACUAUAUUUUCGUUAAGUCUGGCAAGACUAGAAUAACUUUGUUUUGAUCCGGAAACUAGUUAAUUUCGAUCAUGGGAAAAGUUACCGCAGGGAUAACAGCGUAAUCCCCUCAGCGAGACCACAUUAACGGGGGGGUUUGCGACCUCGAUGUUGGCUUAAGGCAUCCCGGGAGUGCAGGAGCUUCCAACGGUUGGUCUGUUCGACCAUUAACGCCUU
rnacentral:rRNA from 1 species